UGGAUAUACCUGUUAGGUUUAAAGAUGGAAAUCAGUCUAUUGAGAAGAGAAGAGUCCAGCAGGAGAGAGCAGACUCCCCUGGACCCAGCUGUGUCUCCAUGAAGAGUGAGCGGUCUAUGGAUGUACCUGUUAAGUUUAAAGAUGGAAAUCAGUCUAUUGAGAAGAGAAGAGUCCAGCAGCAGCAGAGAGCAGACUCCCCUGGACCCAGCAGUGUCUCCAUGAAGAGUGACCGCUCUAUGGAUCAUCCUCCUGUCCAGUUUAAAGAUGGAAAUCACCAACCUUCUAGGGAAAGGUGAGGAUUCAGCCAAUACAUCAGGGCUGUUCAACUGGCGGCCCGCGGAUCAUCUUGAUCCGGCCCGUCGAUCAUUAAUCAGAACAUAACAACGUCCGAUCACAGGACCACUUGGUGCUGGAUU